rnacentral:rRNA from 1 species
AUUGAACGCUGGCGGAAUGCUUUACACAUGCAAGUCGAACGGCAGCACGGGAGCAAUCCUGGUGGCGAGUGGCGAACGGGUGAGUAAUACAUCGGAACGUGCCCAAUCGUGGGGGAUAACGUAGCGAAAGCUACGCUAAUACCGCAUACGAUCUACGGAUGAAAGCAGGGGAUCGCAAGACCUUGCGCGAAUGGAGCGGCCGAUGGCAGAUUAGGUAGUGGUGGGGUAAAGGCUCACCAAGCCUUCGAUCUGUAGCUGGUCUGAGAGGACGACCAGCCACACUGGGACUGAGACACGGCCCAGACUCCUACGGGAGGCAGCAGUGGGAAUUUUGGACAAUGGGCGCAAGCCUGAUCCAGCCAUUCCGCGUGCA